UGAGGAAUAUUGGUCAAUGGGCGGGAGCCUGAACCAGCCAAGCCGCGUGAGGGAGGAAGGCCCUAUGGGUCGUAAACCUCUUUUGUCAGGGAACAAAAGCGAGUAUGUAUACUAGUCUGAGUGUACCUGAAGAAAAAGCAUCGGCUAACUCCGUGCCAGCAGCCGCGGUAAUACGGAGGAUGCGGGCGUUAUCCGGAUUUAUUGGGUUUAAAGGGUGCGUAGGCGGCGGUGCAAGUCAGCGGUAAAAGCCCGGGGCUCAACCCGGCGAGCGUGAACAUGCAGUGCUAGAGAAGGCGAGAGGUACGCGGAAUGCGCAGUGUAGCGGUGAAAUGCUUAGAUAUUGCGCAGAACUCCGAUUGCGAAGGCAGCGUACUGGCGCCUGACUGACGCUGAGGCACGAAAGCGUGGGGAUCGAACAGGAUUAGAUACC
rnacentral:rRNA from 1 species